UGCCCGCAAGGGUGAAACUUCCACAGGUGCUGCAUGGCUGUCGUCAGCUCGUGUCGUGAGAUGUCGGGUUAAGUCCCUUAACGAGCGAAACCCUUGUCGUUAGUUACCAGCGUUAAGUCGGGGACUCUAACGAGACUGCCGGUGUUAAACCGGAGGAAGGUGGGGAUGACGUCAAGUCCUCAUGGCCUUUAUGCCCUGGGCCUCACACGUACUACAAUGGCGAGUACAAAGCGAUGCAAGACCGCGAGGUGGAGCAAAUCGCAGAAAACUCGCCCCAGUUCAGAUUGCAGGCUGCAACUCGUCUGCAUGAAGUUGGAAUCGCUAGUAAUCGCGGAUCAUCUACGCCGCGGUGAAUGUGUUCCUGAGCCUCGUACACACCGCCCGUCAAGUCAUGGGAGCCGGUAGUACCCGAAGUCGGAUUGCCAACCGCAAGGAGGCGUCUGCCGACGGUAAGAUCGGUGACUGGGACUAAGUCGUAACAAGGUAGCCGUAGGGGAACC
rnacentral:rRNA from 1 species